UACGUAGGGGGCAAGCGUUGUCCGGAUUUAUUGGACGUAAAGAGCGUGUAGGCGGCCAAGCAGGUCCGCUGUGAAAACUCGAGGCUCAACCUCGAGAUGUCAUCGGAAACCAUCUGGCUAGAGUCCGGAAGAGGAGAGUGGAAUCCUGGUUGUAGCGGUGAAAUGCGCAGAUAUCAGGAAGAACACCUAUGGCGAAGGCAGCUCUCUGGGACGGUACUGACGCUGAGACGCGAAAGCGUGGGGAGCGAACAGG
rnacentral:rRNA from 1 species